GAGCCAUGAUGUAAAUCAAUAAAAUAUAUUUCAUGAUGGUUUCUACACUUGAACUGAGCUGU
rnacentral:snoRNA from 1 species